rnacentral:rRNA from 1 species
CAGGUGCUGCAUGGCUGUCGUCAGCUCGUGUUGUGAAAUGUUGGGUUAAGUCCCGCAACGAGCGCAACCCUUAUCCUUUGUUGCCAGCGAUUCGGUCGGGAACUCAAAGGAGACUGCCGGUGAUAAACCGGAGGAAGGUGGGGAUGACGUCAAGUCAUCAUGGCCCUUACGAGUAGGGCUACACACGUGCUACAAUGGCGCAUACAAAGAGAAGCGACCUCGCGAGAGCAAGCGGACCUCACAAAGUGCGUCGUAGUCCGGAUCGGAGUCUGCAACUCGACUCCGUGAAGUCGGAAUCGCUAGUAAUCGUGGAUCAGAAUGCCACGGUGAAUACGUUCCCGGGCCUUGUACACACCGCCCGUCACACCAUGGGAGUGGGUUGCAAAAGAAGUAG